rnacentral:tRNA from 1 species
GCAGUGGUGGUUCAGUGGUAGAAUUCUUGUCUUCCAUGCAAGAGACCUGGGUUUGAUUCCCAGACGGUGCU